rnacentral:rRNA from 1 species
GACGAACGCUGGCGGCGUGCCUAAUACAUGCAAGUAGAACGCUGAAGGAGGAGCUUGCUUCUCUGGAUGAGUUGCGAACGGGCGAGUAACGCGUAGGUAACCUGCCUGGUAGCGGGGGAUAACUAUUGGAAACGAUAGCUAAUACCGCAUAAGAGUAGAUGUUGCAUGACAUUUGCUUAAAAGGUGCAAUUGCAUCACUACCAGAUGGACCUGCGUUGUAUUAGCUAGUUGGUGAGGUAACGGCUCACCAAGGCGACGAUACAUAGCCGACCUGAGAGGGUGAUCGGCCACACUGGGACUGAGACACGGCCCAGACUCCUACGGGAGGCAGCAGUAGGGAAUCUUCGGCAAUGGACGGAAGUCUGACCGAGCAACGCCGCGUGAGUGAAGAAGGUUUUCGGAUCGUAAAGCUCUGUUGUAAGAGAAGAACGAGUGUGAGAGUGGAAAGUUCACACUGUGACGGUAUCUUACCAGAAAGGGACGGCUAACUACGUG